rnacentral:snoRNA from 1 species
GGAUCAUCUGAUGAGAAAACAGAAAACUGCAACAAUAUGACAUCUAAUGAUUCAUUGUAUUUAGUCUCUGAUGAUC